rnacentral:rRNA from 1 species
AAACGGGUGAGUAACACGUGGGUGACCUGCCUUCGAGUGGGGGAUAACGUCCCGAAAGGGACGCUAAUACCGCAUGACAUCCUGCCUUUGAACAGGUGGAGAUCAAAGCUGGGGAUCGUAAGACCUAGCGCUCGGAGAGGGGCCCGCGCCUGAUUAGCUAGUUGGUGGGGUAACGGCUCACCAAGGCAACGAUCAGUAUCCGGCCUGAGAGGGCGGACGGACACACUGGGACUGAGACACGGCCCAGACUCCUACGGGAGGCAGCAGUGGGGAAUUGUUCGCAAUGGGCGCAAGCCUGACGACGCA